AGCUCGGUGGUUGAGUGGUGAGACGUCUGCACUUGUAAUCAGGAGGUUGUGGGUUCAAGCCCCACCCGAGUAA